rnacentral:rRNA from 1 species
GCCUACGGGAGGCAGCAGUAGGGAAUUUUCGGCAAUGGGGGGAACCCUGACCGAGCAACGCCGCGUGAAGGAAGAAGGAAUUCGUUCUGUAAACUUCUGUUAUAAAGGAAGAAAGACGGAUGGAGGAAAUGACAUCCGAGUGACGGUACUUUAUGAGAAAGCCACGGCUAACUACGUGCCAGCAGCCGCGGUAAUACGUAGGUGGCAAGCGUUGUUCGGAAUAACUGGGCGUAAAGGAUGCGUAGGCGGUUAAACAAGUUAUAUGUUAAAUAUAU